rnacentral:rRNA from 1 species
CACGUAGGGCGCAAGCGUUGUCCGGAAUUAUUGGGCGUAAAGCGCGCGCAGGCGGUUUCUUAAGUCUGAUGUGAAAGCCCACGGCUCAACCGUGGAGGGUCAUUGGAAACUGGGGAACUUGAGUGCAGAAGAGAAAAGCGGAAUUCCACGUGUAGCGGUGAAAUGCGUAGAGAUGUGGAGGAACACCAGUGGCGAAGGCGGCUUUUUGGUCUGUAACUGACGCUGAGGCGCGAAAGCGUGGGGAGCAAACAGG